rnacentral:rRNA from 2 species
GGCGUGCCUAAUACAUGCAAGUCGAACGAACUCUGGUAUUGAUUGGUGCUUGCAUCAUGAUUUACAUUUGAGUGAGUGGCGAACUGGUGAGUAACACGUGGGAAACCUGCCCAGAAGCGGGGGAUAACACCUGGAAACAGAUGCUAAUACCGCAUAACAACUUGGACCGCAUGGUCCGAGUUUGAAAGAUGGCUUCGGCUAUCACUUUUGGAUGGUCCCGCGGCGUAUUAGCUAGAUGGUGGGGUAACGGCUCACCAUGGCAAUGAUACGUAGCCGACCUGAGAGGGUAAUCGGCCACAUUGGGACUGAGACACGGCCCAAACUCCUACGGGAGGCAGCAGUAGGGAAUCUUCCACAAUGGACGAAAGUCUGAUGGAGCAACGCCGCGUGAGUGAAGAAGGGUUUCGGCUCGUAAAACUCUGUUGUUAAAGAAGAACAUAUCUGAGAGUAACUGUUCAGGUAUUGACGGUAUUUAACCAGAAAGCCACGGCUAACUACGUGCCAGCAGCCGCGGUAAUACGUAGGUGGCAAGCGUUGUCCGGAUUUAUUGGGCGUAAAGCGAGCGCAGGCGGUUUUUUAAGUCUGAUGUGAAAGCCUUCGGCUCAACCGAAGAAGUGCAUCGGAAACUGGGAAACUUGAGUGCAGAAGAGGACAGUGGAACUCCAUGUGUAGCGGUGAAAUGCGUAGAUAUAUGGAAGAACACCAGUGGCGAAGGCGGCUGUCUGGUCUGUAACUGACGCUGAGGCUCGAAAGUAUGGGUAGCAAACAGGAUUAGAUACCCUGGUAGUCCAUACCGUAAACGAUGAAUGCUAAGUGUUGGAGGGUUUCCGCCCUUCAGUGCUGCAGCUAACGCAUUAAGCAUUCCGCCUGGGGAGUACGGCCGCAAGGCUGAAACUCAAAGGAAUUGACGGGGGCCCGCACAAGCGGUGGAGCAUGUGGUUUAAUUCGAAGCUACGCGAAGAACCUUACCAGGUCUUGACAUACUAUGCAAAUCUAAGAGAUUAGACGUUCCCUUCGGGGACAUGGAUACAGGUGGUGCAUGGUUGUCGUCAGCUCGUGUCGUGAGAUGUUGGGUUAAGUCCCGCAACGAGCGCAACCCUUAUUAUCAGUUGCCAGCAUUAAGUUGGGCACUCUGGUGAGACUGCCGGUGACAAACCGGAGGAAGGUGGGGAUGACGUCAAAUCAUCAUGCCCCUUAUGACCUGGGCUACACACGUGCUACAAUGGAUGGUACAACGAGUUGCGAACUCGCGAGAGUAAGCUAAUCUCUUAAAGCCAUUCUCAGUUCGGAUUGUAGGCUGCAACUCGCCUACAUGAAGUCGGAAUCGCUAGUAAUCGCGGAUCAGCAUGCCGCGGUGAAUACGUUCCCGGGCCUUGUACACACCGCCCGUCACACCAUGAGAGUUUGUAACACCCAAAGUCGGUGGGGUAACCUUUUAGGAACCAGCCGCCUAAGGUGGGACAGAUGA